UGCAAGUCGAACGGUAACAGGAAGCAGCUUGCUGCUUCGCUGACGAGUGGCGGACGGGUGAGUAAUGUCUGGGGAUCUGCCUGAUGGAGGGGGAUAACUACUGGAAACGGUAGCUAAUACCGCAUAACGUCGCAAGACCAAAGAGGGGGACCUUCGGGCCUCUUGCCAUCAGAUGAACCCAGAUGGGAUUAGCUAGUAGGUGGGGUAACGGCUCACCUAGGCGACGAUCCCUAGCUGGUCUGAGAGGAUGACCAGCCACACUGGAACUGAGACACGGUCCAGACUCCUACGGGAGGCAGCAGUGGGGAAUAUUGCACAAUGGGCGCAAGCCUGAUGCAGCCAUGCCGCGUGUAUGAAGAAGGCCUUCGGGUUGUAAAGUACUUUCAGCGAGGAGGAAGGUGGUGAGUUUAAUACGCUCAUCAAUUGACGUUACUCGCAGAAGAAGCACCGGCUAACUCCGUGCCAGCAGCCGCGGUAAUACGGAGGGUGCAAGCGUUAAUCGGAAUUACUGGGCGUAAAGCGCACGCAGGCGGUCUGUCAAGUCGGAUGUGAAAUCCCCGGGCUCAACCUGGGAACUGCAUCCGAAACUGGCAGGCUUGAGUCUYGUAGAGGGGGGUARAAUUCCAGGUGUAGCGGUGAAAUGCGUAGAGAUCUGGAGGAAUACCGGUGGCGAAGGCGGCCCCCUGGACRAARACUGACGCUCAGGUGCGAAAGCGUGKGGAGCAAACAGGAUUAGAUACCCUGGUAGUCCACGCCGUAAACGAUGUCGACUUGGAGGUUGUUCCCUUGAGGAGUGGCUUCCGGAGCUAACGCGUUAAGUCGACCGCCUGGGGAGUACGGCCGCAAGGUUAAAACUCAAAUGAAUUGACGGGGGCCCGCACAAGCGGUGGAGCAUGUGGUUUAAUUCGAUGCAACGCGAAGAACCUUACCUGGCCUUGACAUCCAGAGAAUUUGGCAGAGAUGCUUUAGUGCCUUCGGGAACUGUGAGACAGGUGCUGCAUGGCUGUCGUCAGCUCGUGUUGUGAAAUGUUGGGUUAAGUCCCGCAACGAGCGCAACCCUUAUCCUUUGUUGCCAGCGAUUCGGUCGGGAACUCAAAGGAGACUGCCGGUGAUAAACCGGAGGAAGGUGGGGAUGACGUCAAGUCAUCAUGGCCCUUACGGCCAGGGCUACACACGUGCUACAAUGGCGUAUACAAAGAGAAGCGACCUCGCGAGAGCAAGCGGACCUCAUAAAGUACGUCGUAGUCCGGAUUGGAGUCUGCAACUCGACUCCAUGAAGUCGGAAUCGCUAGUAAUCGUGGAUCAGAAUGCCACGGUGAAUACGUUCCCGGGCCUUGUACACACCGCCCGUCACACCAUGGGAGUGGGUUGCAAAAGAAGUAGGUAGCUUAACCUUCGGGAGG
rnacentral:rRNA from 1 species